rnacentral:rRNA from 1 species
UACGGAGGGUGCGAGCGUUAUCCGGAAUCACUGGGUUUAAAGGGUGCGUAGGCGGUUCGGAAAGUCUGUCGUGAAAUGCUCUGGCUCAACCAGUAGGACUGCGAUGGAUACUUCCGAACUUGAAUUGGGUUGAGGCAGGCGGAAUGUGGCAUGUAGCGGUGAAAUGCAUAGAUAUGCCAUAGAACACCGAUCGCGAAGGCAGCUUGCCAAGCCUUGAUUGACGCUGAGGCACGAAAGCGUGGGGAGCAAACAGG